ACGCUCGACACCUACGGCAGCAGUGAGGAAUAUUGGUCAAUGGGCGCUAGCCUGAACCAGCCAAGUAGCGUGAAGGAUGAAGGCUCUAUGGGUCGUAAACUUCUUUUAUAUAAGAAUAAAGUGCAGUAUGUAUACUGUUUUGUAUGUAUUAUAUGAAUAAGGAUCGGCUAACUCCGUGCCAGUAGCCGCGGUAAUCUGAGCGGGCGUGGCAAGGC
rnacentral:rRNA from 1 species